rnacentral:rRNA from 1 species
CCCUGGUAUCUUGGUUUGCAAAAAAUUAGUAAUUUAUGAAAAUUAAUAAAUUUUGGCAGUUAACUAUAUUAUUAGAGGAGCUUGUUUUGUGAAAUAGAAUUUACUCUUUUUAUUUUAAUAUAUAUCUUUUGUAGUUUAUUCAUCUCUGUUAUUAAAUGAAAAUUGAUUUUAAUAUUUUAUUAUUUCAGGUCAAGAUGUAGCAGUGAAAUAUUGUAAAAUUAGCUACAAUUAUGAGAUAAAUAUUAUAUGGUUUGAAAUUGAUUAUUAUUAUUUGAAUUUAGUUGUAAUUUUUAUUAGAAUGUUAUUAUGAUUUAGUAUAGUUAGUGUA